UGGGAGGCGGCAGCAGCAGCACACGGAGGAGGAGGCAGCCGAUCCAAGGCUGGGCAGCAGGCUUCACGGGGCCUGCUGUGGAUUCAGGACCCUAGCACACUGCCACCUUAAAGCUCGGUCUGCGACUCACAGUGACAUCUUCACGCUAAGACCUCCAGAGGGAGGCGUCCCAGAGCUCAGGAGGUGCCGGGCCCCAUUUGCUGGAUGCGGCCGGGACUGCGCCCCUCCCAGAAGCUCUUGCACGGAGUCUCCAGUGAUUCCCAGCGCUGGCAAACCCAGCCCAACCCUUUGGGACAGCUUGGGAAACCCCUGGCAGGAUGCUGGAAGCAGGGAGAGUUCAGAUAUUGGCAACUCCACAUCUGCCAUGCCAUGUCCCUGCCAGCAGCGCUGUGUCCGUGCCUCACCAGCCGUCCAGCUCCAGUUCACAAAGCGCCCUUGAAACAGGGCCAGCCCAAUCGGAUUCCCCUCUCAUCCCCAGCCUAGCACAAUCAGUCUGUACCUUUCCUGAGCACAAUGUGUGCCCUGUCUCCUAUUCUAGUGAUCUGUUUACUAAUCUUGUCCUAACCAGAUUAGAAAGUCCUUGAGGCAGAAACAAAGUCUGCUUCUUCUUUGAGGCCUCCUCCCUGCCCCCCAUUUCAUCUCUCCCAGGCCAAGCCCGGCACCCAAGUUGAUGUUCAAUAAAUAUGGGGUGUAUUGAAAUGA